rnacentral:rRNA from 1 species
CCUACGGGUGGCAGCAGUGGGGAAUAUUGCACAAUGGGGGAAACCCUGAUGCAGCGACGCCGCGUGCGUGAAGAAGUCUUUCUGUACGUAAAGCUCUAUCAGCAGGGAAGAAAAUCACGUUACCUGACUAAGAAUCCCCGGCUAACUCCGUUCAAGCCGCCGCGGUAAUACGGAGGGGGCCAGCGUUAUCCGGAUUUACUGGGUGUAAGGGGAGCGUAGACGGCAGGGCAAGUCUGGAGUGAAAUCCCAUGGCUUAACCCUGGAACUGCUUUGGAAACUGUGGAGCUGGAGUGCAGGAGAGGUAAGCGGAAUUCCUAGUGUAGCGGUGAAAUGAGUAGAUAUGAGGAGGAACACCAGUGGCGAAGGCGGCUUACUGGACUGUAACUGACGUUGAGGCUCGAAAGCGUGGGGAGCAAACAGGAUUAGAUACCCCGGUAGUC